CUCCAAAAUUUUAUUGAUUUGUGACGAAAAAUAAAUAAUUGUACCUUUAUCUCAGAUUUUAGGAAAAGCAUAAGCGGGAAAAGAAUUUCCCACAUAUUUUCCUUCCCUUUUUGCUCAAUUUUCCCUCUUUACUUUCAGUCAGUUUAGGUUUUUCUCUUUUCGUCAAUUAGAGCUUUGAACGAGUUGGCCUUCCCUCAAGCGAUUAGGACUCCAAUUUGUGUUACAUCUUACUAUUUUGUUUGCCUUACGUUUGUUCGUCAAGAUAUUUGAAGAGGAGGUAUGUAUGUGACAGUGAGGAGGUUCAAUAGGUUGAUUGUAACAAGAAGAACUAAGGGAGGUGUACAUGCCCAAACUUCAAUUGAUCGAGGACAUGUCAUUAAGUAGAAAGACAUGAAGGUCGAGGAUAAGGUCAGAAUUGUUGCUCAUAUUCUGGGGCCUUACAAUUUUUGUAUGAUCACACUCCUUAUUCUGUUGAACCAUAGCUCUGGCGGUAUCCACUUCAGAAAAUUACUUGAUUCUAUUGAUAUGAACAAAUUUGUCUUCACAAUUAAUCAAACUCGUUAUCAAUGUGCCCUUGAUGCUUACAAUUAAACCAAUAAUCAGAAAUGAUAUAUCUUACCAAAAAUAUUUUUUUAAUACAUACAUAUGUUAAGAAUAUUUUUAGAUUCUAUUGUGAUUUAUAAUACUUUUUACGUAAUUUUUAAGUAAUAUAUGUUAUACCCUUUUUCUCAAGUUAUGUGGUAUUGAUACAAUUUUUGAAAGUUAGCUAAUUUUAUUUAUUUAUACACACACAUAUAUAUAUAUUACUUUUGUAUAUAUAAAUUACUUUUUUCGUACAUACAGAAAGUGAACGGGGACAAUAAAACUUGAAUUCACGUGUAGUAGAUGGGAGACACCUAGUAAAACUACAAGGACGCUUAAUUAUGCAUCCUGAAGACGAAAUAUGAUAUAUAUUUUAUUUAUGGAACACCUCAAAUUUAUUCAUGAGAUAUUCCACCUUAUACAUCCUAUCAAACGACAAAUAUUCUAACAACCACAUGUUACGCUGUACAAUUUGAAGAUAAGGGUCAAUAUGGCCUUUCAUUUAAUUACAUUAAUUAGGAAAAA